rnacentral:rRNA from 1 species
ACUCCUACGGGAGGCAGCAGUGGGGAAUUUUGGACAAUGGGCGAAAGCCUGAUCCAGCAAUGCCGCGUGAGUGAAGAAGGCCUUCGGGUUGUAAAGCUCUUUUGUCAGGGAAGAAACGGUGAAAGCUAAUAUCUUUUGCUAAUGACGGUACCUGAAGAAUAAGCACCGGCUAACUACGUGCCAGCAGCCGCGGUAAUACGUAGGGUGCAAGCGUUAAUCGGAAUUACUGGGCGUAAAGCGUGCGCAGGCGGUUUUGUAAGUCUGAUGUGAAAUCCCCGGGCUCAACCUGGGAAUUGCAUUGGAGACUGCAAGGCUAGAAUCUGGCAGAGGGGGGUAGAAUUCCACGUGUAGCAGUGAAAUGCGUAGAUAUGUGGAGGAACACCGAUGGCGAAGGCAGCCCCCUGGGUCAAGAUUGACGCUCAUGCACGAAAGCGUGGGGAGCAAACAGGAUUAGAAACCCGAGUAGUCCCAU